GACCCGCUGAGGUAAUUUCAAGAAAAAGGCGUAUUUUAUUACAUCAGUAUACAGUGUAAUAGACUGUUGUGUAACGUAAAAAUAGCGACUCACUGUAAUGUGCAGAGCCGCGUAGAGAUGGCGCCAUUCAACUUAUUGCGCCUCCUCUAAACCCGGAACAGUGGGCUGGACUUUUGUUUUCGCGGGAAGUUCCUCUGCUCUGCUGUGCAGCUGAGCUGGACGCAUUCAGUGCGAAUCACAUCAGGGAGUAUCGAUAAGAACGAAAUCAGCAUUUUCUAACUAAGCCAUGGACAACAAGGCAAAGAACGAUACAUCACAGCUCAAUGGAACGCACAGUGAAGGUGUGACAAAGAAGAGGGAGGACUAUUUGGAGUGGCCUGAGUAUUUCAUGGCUGUUGCCUUCUUAUCAGCGCAGAGGAGCAAGGACCCCAGUUCUCAGGUUGGUGCCUGUAUCGUGAAUCAAGAGAACAAGAUAGUGGGUAUCGGCUACAAUGGCAUGCCCAAUGGUUGUGACGAUGACCUGCUGCCCUGGUCUCGCAGUGCUGAUAACAAGCUGGACACCAAAUACCCCUAUGUGUGCCACGCAGAGCUGAACGCCAUUAUGAAUAAGAACUCGGCAGAUGUCAAGGGUUGCACCAUGUAUGUAGCGCUCUUCCCUUGCAACGAGUGCGCCAAACUCAUUAUUCAAGCAGGUAUAAAGGAUGUGAUCUAUUUGUCAGACAAAUACCAUGACACUCCAGAAAUGACUGCCUCCAGACGGCUUCUUAACUUGGCGGGCAUCACGUACAAUGUAUUUUCUCUUGAGAUGUUGGGGCGCUUGGUCCCUGCUGGGAUUGCCUUAUGGAGGGGUUACUGCUUGUGCACUCUCACGAGGUCUAGUGCGUAAUUGGUUUCCUCAACUCCAGCGUGCUGAGGUGAAUUACUGGUGUGACAACUUGGACAAUGAGGACAAGGAGUGAAUUCUCUUUCUCUCACUUUUAUCAAGGCAAUUCAAGCCAAAGCAAGGCAGGAUUGUCAUUGAUUUUAAUUCAAUCAACCACCCCGGAUUGAAAAGUUCCAGUGGUUUGGCGGGCAUACAGUCACCGUAGACAGAGCAACUUUGAGCAUGACACUAAGUAUUCAGAAAACAAACAUUCUCACUUAUGUACUGGUAAAGGUCAUUAUGGGUUUACACAGUGAUUACUAAUAGAUGUAUUGCACUGUUGCGCUUUUGUGUUUUAAAUCUGUUUCUUCAAAUCUUGAAUCUUGCUGGAAUUAACUAUUGUCAAUGUUUUAAAUGUUUUCUUUUUAUGUAUUUGCUCUAAUUCAUAAAAUUAACAUUUUAGUCAAUUUACAUGCAAAAUAGCAGCUGGUUUGUGACCUUGGCUGAUGUGCCUUUUUUUAAUUGAUUCUUUUAGAGUUUCAAUAUUUAUGAUGAGUGGGUUGACAAUGAGGACAUUAAAAUUAAGCUGGAUGCCAACAUGAACCAAAUCAAAUGUGUUAUUUACUUUUUUCUUUUAACCUUUUUGUAUUCUCUAAGAUGAGGCUGAUUAGUUUUUGAUGUUCAUUUCACAAGUACAAGAACUGUAAAUUACCCUUCCCUCUUCAACCAUUAACCACUGAUGGCUGUUUUGCUCAUAUUCCUAAGCUUUUGUAAAUACUGCAGCUGAUAAACCUUGUAUUCUGUCAAACCCCAGUUCACACUGUUUUGCGCAUGUUGUGUCUCUUCAGGUUAGAACCCAUACCUCCAGGUUUUAAUUAGAAGUUUUGGUGGAAAUGUUGUGCGUUACUUAUUGUUAUACCGGGAUCACACUCACAAAAUAAAAAAUGAAUAAAAACUA